AGAGUUUGAUCAUGGCUCAGAACGAACGCUGGCGGCGUGGAUAAGACAUGCAAGUCGGACGAGAUUUCGUCCUGUAGCAAUACGGGAAGAAGUUUAGUGGCGAACGGGUGCUUAACACGUGGGCAAUUUGUCUUAAAGUGGGGGAUAGCUCGGCGAAAGCCGAAUUAAUACCGCAUGUGAUUAGAGUGGACAUCCAUUCGAAAUUAAAGUCGGGGCAACCUGACGCUUUUUGAGAAGCCCGCGGCCUAUCAGCUAGUUGGUGAGGUAACGGCUCACCAAGGCUUUGACGGGUAGCUGGUCUGAGAGGACGACCAGCCACACUGGGACUGAGACACGGCCCAGACACCUACGGGUGGCAGCAGUCGAGAAUUUUUCUCAAUGGGGGAAACCCUGAAGGAGCGACGCCGCGUGGAGGAUGAAGGUCUUCGGAUUGUAAACUCCUGUCAUUGGGGAACAAGGUGCAUACGUUAACUGCGUGUGCAUUGAUAGUACCCGAAGAGGAAGAGACGGCUAACUCUGUGCCAGCAGCCGCGGUAAUACAGAGGUCUCAAGCGUUGUUCGGAUUCAUUGGGCGUAAAGGGUGCGUAGGCGGCGCGGUAAGUCGGGUGUGAAAUCUCGGAGCUUAACUCCGAAACUGCAUUCGAUACUGCCGUGCUCGAGGACUGGAGAGGAGACUGGAAUUUACGGUGUAGCGGUGAAAUGCGUAGAUAUCGUAAGGAAGACCAGUGGCGAAGGCGGGUCUCUGGACAGUUCCUGACGCUGAGGCACGAAGGUCAGGGGAGCAAACGGGAUUAGAUACCCUAGUAGUCC
rnacentral:rRNA from 1 species